ensembl:snRNA U6 U6 spliceosomal RNA
GUGCUGACUUCAGCAGUACCUACACUAAAAUCAGAAUGAUACAGCAGAUUAACACGGCCCCUGCGCAAGGAUAACAUGUCAAUCCAUGUUUUCCUAGGUGAAGUU